GAUGAACGCUGGCGGCGUGCCUAACACAUGCAAGUCGAGCGGAAAAUUGUUGCUUGCGUCAAUUCUUAGCGGCGGACGGGUGAGUAACACGUGGGUAACCUGCCCUAAACAAAGGGAUAACAAUUAGAAAUAAUUGCUAAUACAGCAUAAGCUUACACUAUCGCCUGAUAGAGUAAGAAAAGAUUUAUCGGUUUAGGAGGGGCCCGCGGCUGAUUAGCUAGUUGGAGGGGUAACGGCUCACCAAGGCGACGAUCAGUAGCCGACCUGAGAGGGUGAUCGGCCACAUUGGGACUGAGACACGGCCCAAACCCCUAGGGGAGGGAGGAGUGGGGAAUAUUGCACAAGGGAGGAAACUCUGAUGCAGCAACGCCGCGUGAAGGAAGAAGGUUUUCGGAGCGUAAACUUCUAUCUACAGGGAAGAAAAAAAUGACGGUACCUGAGUAAGAAGCCCCGGCUAACUACGUG
rnacentral:rRNA from 1 species